AACGAACGCUGGCGGCGUGGCUAAGGCAUGCAAGUCGAACGGACAUGUUCCAAGGGCAACUGCGGGACAUGUUAGUGGCGAACGGGUGAGGAAUACAUGGAUAACGUACCCUGGACACGGGAAUAGCGGCGGGGGCAACCCCUUUGCGAAAGUGCCGGUAAUACCCGAUGACCCCGCGGAAAUCGCAUGGUUUUGCGGGCAAAUGCUCCGACGGUCUGGGAUCGGUUCAUGACCUAUCAGCUAGUUGGUGAGGUAACGGCUCACCAAGGCAACGACGGGUAGCGGGCGUGAGAGCGCGACCCGCCACAUCGGGACUGAGACACUGCCCGGACACCUAC
rnacentral:rRNA from 1 species